GGAUCCCAGUAGAAAGAGUGUUCUCGUCAUCUCUGCCCCUUCUCAAACCCCAAAUUCAAUGUUAUUCAUAGGAACUUGGGCUUCCUUGGUGGUUCAGAUGGUAAAGGAUCUGCCUGCAAAGCAGGAGAUGUGAGUUUGAUCCCUGGGUCAGGAAGAUCUUCUGGAGAAGGAAAUGGCAACCCACUCCAGUAUUCUUGCCUAGGAAAUCCCAUGGACAGAGGAGCCUGGUGGGCUACAGUCCAUGGAGUUGCAAAGAGUCAGACACGACUGAGGGACUCACACACACAUACACAGGAACUUACUUUUUUUCCUCCCCACAUUUUAACAGCUCUUGCGAGAGUGGAUGGCAUCUUACAGUUGAAGUUGGCAACAUUUUUUUCUCUUUUGGAGGCGCUCUAGAUAAGGGUACAUUUUAUCAUUCAUAGCAUCUCAGAAUUGAUGUAGUACAUUGGCCAUUCCCCUUAGGAAUGGCCUGGCUAUGCCCAUUCCUAAGAUCAGCUGUGGUGGCCAGGGCAAGAGAAUGCUCUGGACCCCAGGCUGGGUCAGGUGGUUGGUCUUACCCAGAACUUGGGGUGGUAGUUUGCUAAAGGAAAACCAGGACACUCCUGCUGGAGAGGUGGAUUAGAGGCUGGGUAGUGAUGAUUGCUUCUGGGCAGGAAAGCUAUGACAAAGGUAGACAGUGUGUUAAAAAGCAAAGACAUCACUUUGCUAACAAAGGUCUGUGUAGUCAAGGCCAAGGUCUUUCCAGUAGUCAUGUACGGAUAUGAGUUGGACAAUAAAGAAAGCUGAGCACCAAAGGAUUGAUGCUUUUGAACUGCGGUGCUGGAGAAGACUCUUGAGAGUCCCUUGGAAAACGAGGAGAUCAAACAAUCAAUCUUAAAAGAAAUCAGUCCUGAAUAUUCAUUGGAAGGACUGAUGCUGAAGCUGAAAGCUCCAGUAAUUUGGCCACUUGAUGCAAAGACCUGAUUCAUUUGAAAAGACCCUGAUGCUGGGCAAGAUUGAAGGCAGGAGGAGAAGGGGAUGACAGAGGAUGAGAUGGCUGGAUGGCGUCACCGAUUAAAUGGAAAUGAACUUGGGCAAACUCCAGGAGACAGUGAGGGAUAGGGAGGUCUGGCGUGCUGCAGUCCAUGGGGUCACAAAGAGUCUGACACGACUUGGCAACUGAACAACUAACAGACACAGGCUUCCCCACACAGAGACCCCCACAAAGAGCCCCCAGAUGAGCUGGACCCGCCUGGGGACCUGAGAUGCCAGUGGAAUGUGUGUCUGGACAUCUCAGGAAUUGGACAGAAGUUUCCCUGAUUCAGGUCCUUCUUGAAACCCUGGAUAAUAGCAGGGAUGUUCUGGAAGGCACUGGCCUGGCUUUUGGACAGUUACCCAGUGGCUUCCAAGCCACAGCCACUGGGUCAGAGAGAGUAUCUUAGGGUCACCCACUCGAUGCAUCAGAGGUGGGGGAGGAACCCCUGUUCCCCGGCUCUGUGAACUCUCACCAUAUCUAGAGGGAAGAAGAGUCAUCCCUAGUUACUGAGACCCUGUCCUCCCUAAGCCAAGCUGGAUCUAAGAGGGUGUCCACCUGAUUGAAGGGGAUGAAGCAACCAAGUAACAGAAAGGUGGCUCAGGUGGCCACCUCUGCAGGCUACGGGAGGGAAGAACAACCCAGAACCUCCCAGGUGGCUGAGGGCCGUGAUGAUGAAGGGGUUACACAAAGAAUAAGUGUCCUCCGUGACUAUUGGAAAGUGCUAAUAUCUGUAAUAAAAAUGUUUGCA
ensembl:lncRNA